rnacentral:rRNA from 1 species
UACGGAGGGUGCAAGCGUUAUCCGGAUUUACUGGGUUUAAAGGGUGCGUAGGUGGAUUAGUAAGUCAGUGGUGAAAUACUUUCGCUUAACGAAGGAACUGCCAUUGAUACUACCAGUCUUGAAUACAGUGGAGGUAGGCGGAAUGCGUCAUGUAGCGGUGAAAUGCUUAGAUAUGACGCAGAACACCAAUUGCGAAGGCAGCUUGCUACACUGUUAUUGACACUGAGGCACGAAAGCGUGGGGAUCAAACAGG